rnacentral:rRNA from 1 species
CCUACGGGAGGCAGCAGUGGGGAAUAUUGGGCAAUGGGCGCAAGCCUGACCCAGCAACGCCGCGUGAAGGAAGAAGGCUUUCGGGUUGUAAACUUCUUUUGUCAGGGAAGAGUAGAAGACGGUACCUGACGAAUAAGCCACGGCUAACUACGUGACAGCAGCCGCGGUAAUACGGAGGUGGCAAGCGUUGUCCGGAUUUACUGGGUGUAAAGGGCGUGUAGCCGGGUUGACAAGUCAGAUGUGAAAUUCUGCGGCUUAACCGCAGAACUGCAUUUGAAACUGUUGAUCUUGAGUACAGGAGGGGCAGGUGGAAUUCCUGGUGUAGCGGUGAAAUGCGUAGAUAUCAGGAGGAACACCGGUGGCGAAGGCGGCCUGCUGGACUGCAACUGACGUUGAGGCCCGAAAGCGUGGGGAGCAAACAGGAUUAGAUACCCGUGUAGUC